GAUGAACGCUGGCGGCGUGCCUAAUACAUGCAAGUCGAGCGAACAGACGAGGAGCUUGCUCCUCUGACGUUAGCGGCGGACGGGUGAGUAACACGUGGAUAACCUACCUAUAAGACUGGGAUAACUUCGUGAAACCGGAGCUAAUACCGGAUAAUAUAUUGAACCGCAUGGUUCAAUAGUGAAAGACGGUUUUCCUGUCACUUAUAGAUGGAUCCGCGCCGCAUUAGCUAGUUGGUAAGGUAACGGCUUACCAAGGCAACGAUGCGUAGCCGACCUGAGAGGGUGAUCGGCCAAACUGGAACUGAGACACGGUCCAGACUCCUACGGGAGGCAGCAGUAGGGAAUCUUCCGCAAUGGGCGAAAGCUUGACGGAGCAACGCCGCGUGAGUGAUGAAGGUCUUCGGAUCGUAAAACUCUGUUAUUAGGGAAGAACAAAUGUGUAAGUAACUAUGCACGGCUUGACGGUACCUAAUCAGAAAGCCACGGCUAACUACGUG
rnacentral:rRNA from 1 species